rnacentral:lncRNA from 1 species
UAAUCCAACACUUUGAGAAGCCGAGGCAGGUGGAUCACUUGAGGUCAGGAGUUCAAGACCAGCCUGGUCAAUAUGGCAAAACCUCAUCUCUAUUAAAAAUACAAAAAUUAGCCAGGUGUGGUGGUGCAUGCGUGUAGUCCCAGCUACUCAGGAGGCUAAGGCAGGAAAAUCACUUGAACCCGGGAGAUGGAGGUUGCAGUGAGCCAAGAUUGCACCACUGUACUCCAGCCUGGGUGACAGAGCGAGACUCUGUCUCAAAGAAAAAUAAACAAAAGAACCCAUGAAGGUGUGAGCUGGGAAGGCUUGUGGGUGGCCCAGGGGCUAAUGGAAAGAAGGCCAAAUGUGAGGAUGACUCAGUGACAGUGGUUUUCUAAAUGAGGUGGUCUAGUUC